GAUUGAACGCUGGCGGCAGGCCUAACACAUGCAAGUCGAACGGUAACCGGAAACAGCUUGCUGUUUCGCUGACGAGUGGCGGACGGGUGAGUAAUGUCUGGGAAACUGCCUGAUGGAGGGGGAUAACUACUGGAAACGGUAGCUAAUACCGCAUAACGUCGCAAGACCAAAGAGGGGGACCUUCGGGCCUCUUGCCAUCGGAUGUGCCCAGAUGGGAUUAGCUAGUAGGUGGGGUAACGGCUCACCUAGGCGACGAUCCCUAGCUGGUCUGAGAGGAUGACCAGCCACACUGGAACUGAGACACGGUCCAGUCUCCUACGGGAGGCAGCAGUGGGGAAUAUUGCACAAUGGGCGCAAGCCUGAUGCAGCCAUGCCGCGUGUAUGAAGAAGGCCUUCGGGUUGUAAAGUACUUUCAGCGGGGAUGAAGGGAGUAAAGUUAAUACCUUGGCUCAUUGACGUUACCCGCAGAAGAAGCACCGGCUAACUCCGUG
rnacentral:rRNA from 1 species